rnacentral:rRNA from 1 species
UACGUAGGGAGCAAGCGUUGUUCGGAUUUACUGGGCGUCAAGGGCGCGUAGGCGGCGCGGUAAGUCACUUGUGAAAUCUCUGAGCUUAACUCAGAACGGCCAAGUGAUACUGCAGUGCUAGAGUGCAGAAGGGGCAAUCGGAAUUCUUGGUGUAGCGGUGAAAUGCGUAGAUAUCAAGAGGAACACCUGAGGUGAAGACGGGUUGCUAGGCUGACACUGACGCUGAGGCGCGAAAGCCAGGGGAGCAAACGGG